CAGGGCUGGGAAUAUGGCCUAGUGGCAAGAGUGCUUGCCUCCUAUACAUGAAGCUCUGGGUUCGAUUCCCCAGCACCACAUAUAUAGAAAACAGCCAGAAAAGUGGUGCUGUGGCUCAAGUGGUAGAGUGAUAACCUUGAGCAAAAA